rnacentral:rRNA from 1 species
AUUGAACGCUGGCGGCAGGCUUAACACAUGCAAGUCGAACGAGCGGCGGACUGGUGAGUGAUGUCUGGGAAACUGCCUGAUGGAGGGGGAUAACUACUGGAAACGGUAGCUAAUACCGCAUACCAUCAGAUGUGCCCAGAUUGGAUUAGCUAGUAGGUGGGGUAAUGGCUCACCUAGGCGACGAUCCCUAGCUGGUCUGAGAGGAUGACCAGCCACACUGGAACUGAGACACGGCCCAGACUCCUACGGGAGGCAGCAGUGGGGAAUAUUGCACAAUGGGCGAAAGCCUGAUGCAGCCAGGCCGCGUGUGUGAAGAAGGCCUUCGGGGUGUAAAGCACUUUCAGCGGGGAGGCGUUACUCGAAGAAGAAGCAACGGCUAACUCCGUGCCAGCAGCCGCGGUAAUUC